UGGCGGCAGGCUUAACACAUGCAAGUCGAACGCCCCCGCAAGGGGGAGUGGCAGACGGGUGAGUAACACGUGGGAACAUACCCUUCGGUUCGGAACAACGUUUGGAAACGGACGCUAAUACCGGAUACGGCCUUUCGGGCGAAAGAUUGAUCGCCGAAGGAUUGGCCCGCGUUCGAUUAGCUUGAUGGCGGGGUAACGGCCCACCAUGGCGACGAUCGAUAGCUGGUCUGAGAGGAUGGCCAGCCACAUUGGGACUGAGACACGGCCCAAACUCCUACGGGAGGCAGCAGUGGGGAAUAUUGGACAAUGGGCGCAAGCCUGAUCCAGCCAUGCCGCGUGAGUGAUGACGGCCUUAGGGUUGUAAAGCUCUUUCGCACGCGACGAUAAUGACGGUAGCGUGAGAAGAAGCCCCGGCUAACUUCGUGCCAGCAGCCGCGGUAAUACGAAGGGGGCUAGCGUUGUUCGGAAUCACUGGGCGUAAAGGGUGCGUAGGCGGGCAUUUAAGUCAGGGGUGAAAUCCCGAGGCUCAACCUCGGA
rnacentral:rRNA from 1 species